rnacentral:rRNA from 1 species
GACGAACGCUGGCGGCGUGCUUAACACAUGCAAGUCGAACGGAAAGGCCCCCUUGUGGGGUACUCGAGUGGCGAACGGGUGAGUAACACGUGAGUAACCUACCCUUGACUUUGGGAUAACUUCAGGAAACUGGGGCUAAUACCGGAUAGGAGCUCCUGCUGCAUGGUGGGGGUUGGAAAGUUUCGGCGGUUGGGGAUGGACUCGCGGCUUAUCAGCUUGUUGGUGGGGUAGUGGCUCACCAAGGCUUUGACGGGUAGCCGGCCUGAGAGGGUGACCGGCCACAUUGGGACUGAGAUACGGCCCAGACUCCUACGGGAGGCAGCAGGGGGGAAUAUUGCACAAUGGGCGGAAGCCUGAUGCAGCAACGCCGCGUGCGGGAGGACGGCCUUCGGGUUGUAAACCGCUUUCGCCUGUGACGAAGCGUGAGUGACGGUAAUGGGUAAAGAAGCACCGGCUAACUACGUG